rnacentral:rRNA from 1 species
GGGUCAUAACGCGUGAGAAUCUACCUUUAGGACGGGGACAACAAUUGGAAACGAUUGCUAAUACCCGAUAUGCCCUUCGGGGUGAAAUGUUUUUUCGCCUAAAGAUGAGCUCGCGUCCGAUUAGCUAGUAGGUAGUGUAAUGGACUACCUAGGCGAUGAUCGGUAGCUGGUUUGAGAGGACAAUCAGCCACACUGGGACUGAGACACGGCCCAGACUCCUACGGGAGGCAGCAGUGGGGAAUUUUCCGCAAUGGGCGCAAGCCUGACGGAGCAAUACCGCGUGGGGGAGGAAGGUCUGUGGAUUGUAAACCCCUUUUCUCAGGGAAGAAGCUCUGACGGUACCUGAGGAAUCAGCAUCGGCUAACUCCGUGCCAGCAGCCGCGGUAAUACGGAGGAUGCAAGCGUUAUCCGGAAUUAUUGGGCGUAAAGCGUCCGCAGGCGGCUAGAUAAGUCUGCUUUCAAAGAGUGGGGCUCAACCCCAUAAAGGGAGUGGAAACUGUUUAGCUAGAGUAUGGUAGGGGCAGAGGGAAUUCCCAGUGUAGCGGUGAAAUGCGUAGAUAUUGGGAAGAACACCAGUGGCGAAGGCGCUCUGCUGGACCGAGACUGACGCUGAUGACAAAUCAAAGUU